AUUGAACGCUGGCGGAAUGCUUUACACAUGCAAGUCGAACGGCAGCACGGGGGCAACCCUGGUGGCGAGUGGCGAACGGGUGAGUAAUACAUCGGAACGUGCCCAGUCGUGGGGGAUAACGUAGCGAAAGCUACGCUAAUACCGCAUACGAACUCUGGUUGAAAGCGGGGGAUCGCAAGACCUCGCGCGAUUGGAGCGGCCGAUGGCAGAUUAGGUAGGUGGUGGGGUAAAGGCUCGCCAAGCCGACGAUCUGUAGCUGGUCUGAGAGGACGACCAGCCACACUGGGACUGAGACACGGCCCAGACUCCUACGGGAGGCAGCAGUGGGGAAUUUUGGACAAUGGGCGCAAGCCUGAUCCAGCCAUUCCGCGUGCAGGAUGAAGGCCCUCGGGUUGUAAACUGCUUUUGUACGGAACGAAACGGCUCUCUCUAAUACAGGGGGCUAAUGACGGUACCGUAAGAAUAAGCACCGGCUAACUACGUGCCAGCAGCCGCGGUAAUAC
rnacentral:rRNA from 1 species